rnacentral:tRNA from 1 species
CCUGGUGGUUCAGAGGUUAAAAGUAUCUGCCUGCAAUGCAGGACACCCAGGUUCGAUCCCUGGGUCAGGA